GAGUUUGAUCUUGGCUCAGAUUGAACGCUGGCGGCAUGCCUUACACAUGCAAGUCGAACGGCAGCACGGGAGCUUGCUCCUGGUGGCGAGUGGCGAACGGGUGAGUAAUGCAUCGGAACGUAUCCUGGAGUGGGGGAUAACGUAGCGGAAGUUACGCUAAUACCGCAUAUUCUGUGAGCAGGAAAGCGGGGGACCUUCGGGCCUCGCGCUCUUGGAGCGGCCGAUGUCGGAUUAGCUAGUUGGUGAGGUAAAGGCUCACCAAGGCGACGAUCCGUAGCAGGUCUGAGAGGAUGAUCUGCCACACUGGAACUGAGACACGGUCCAGACUCCUACGGGAGGCAGCAGUGGGGAAUUUUGGACAAUGGGGGCAACCCUGAUCCAGCCAUGCCGCGUGAGUGAAGAAGGCCUCGGUU
rnacentral:rRNA from 1 species